CUUUUUUCUUUGCUUUACAACCACAAGUUAUUGCCAGCUGAAAAGGAUAAUGGAGGAGUCAACUUUUAUAACACUGUUACUGGGAAUACUUGACUUACUAAGCUUUUACUGAACACUUUAAUUUUGGGAGUACAAUUUCUAAACUCACGAAAUAAUCUUCAUGCAACAAGAUGUUAUUUUAUCAAAUUUUGGUAUUACAUGCUCAUUCUUUGACAAAUUUUAAUUAACAGAUUUCUGAGAGAGCAGACACCAUCUUAUUUCUGUUGAAUUGUAUUUAGUAACUCAAAAGGCAUAUACCAAGCUGUCAGAAGCAGCUUCAUUUAAAAGAAAUAAAAUUUCUAGUCCUGCCUGAAGUUUAAGCUAGCCCAUGACUACACAAGUGCAACUGUAUUUCCCAGAAUUAAAGCAGCAGCCUUGGAUCCAGAGAUGGACGCCAAUUGAUGAAGACAGCAGAACUGACUGGCUAGUCUGGGUUCCCUGGAGCAGAGCUGUCUCUCCACCCUAGGUUAUCCACUUACUUUUGUACUGUUAUGUGAGAGAGAAAUAAACUUCUAUCUUCUUUAA
rnacentral:lncRNA from 1 species